rnacentral:tRNA from 1 species
UGUCCAGGGAUGGGAAUCGAACCCACAGUGUUCCGCUUACCAGGCAGAUGCCAUGUCCACUAGGCUAC